AAUUUCUAUGACAUUUCUGCUUACCUCCCAGUUUGAUUCUGUAUCUGAAGCUGGGACAGAUAUUGGAACUGUGUGUCUCCAAACUGCCUCCAGAGUCACACGGUGGAGAGCAGGAGGGAAGCCAUCCACUACCACCUUCCUGUCUCCCGCAGACAGACUGGGCUGAGCCAACUACAGAGUCUUCCAAGACACUGCUUUAAAGUCUCUCACAUCUGUCUGAAGAUCUGGAUAAUUGGUGGGUGUGGAUAGAAAGCCAUGGAGGACUUAUAUCCAUCUGGAGAGUGGAAAGAAUCCAAAUUUCAGUAGCUGUUACACCCACAUGUUCGGAACAGCCCCUUUGAACAGAGCCUAUCCUGACUGAGAGGAGAAUAGAACUCUGCAAGCAGGGAAAUCACAGAAUAGAAGAAGAAAGAAUUAAAAGACAUCAUUGGAACUUACAGAAGAAGGGCCAUGUGAAGACACAAAGAGAAGAUUGCCAUGUACAAACCAAGGAGACAGGACUCUGAAGAAACCAAAACUGCCAAUGACUUGAUCUUGGGCUUCUAGCCUUCAGAACCGUAAUAAAUAUUUUUGUUUAAGCCAGAAAUAAAAAGACAUAAUUGAUUUUUUUAAAAAGCCAUUUUAAUGUGUAAGUUGUUCUGGUGAUAACAAUUAUGAAUCUUUAGUGAGGAUGGGGGAAGGCUCCUAUGCCUCCUUAUCCUCUUGCAAUCUUAACAAAAAUUGCUGUGAUGUGUUUUAGAUGAUGGUGAAGUGGCUAUGGCCUAAGCCUUACAUUCUCUGCCCAGUGGCCUGGUAUCUAGACAUAUGCCUAUUCUACCGUGGAAAGUCUGGCCCACCCUCACUAAAUCACCGAAGAAAGGCACUACAUUAAGUUCUUAUUCAUUUCUUU